AGCAGCCGCGGUAAUUCCAGCUCCAAUAGCGUAUAUUAAAGUUGUUGCAGUUAAAAAGCUCGUAGUUGAAUUUCGGGGUUAGUAGGUUGGUCAUGCCUCUGGUAUGUACUGGUCUCACUGAUUCCUCCUUUCUGACGAAUCAUAAUGCCAUUAAUUUGGUGUUUUGGGGAAUCAGGACUGUUACUUUGAAAAAAU
rnacentral:rRNA from 1 species